rnacentral:rRNA from 1 species
CACGUAGGGCGCAAGCGUUGUCCGGAAUUAUUGGGCGUAAAGAGCUCGUAGGCGGUCUGUUGCGUCUGCUAGUGAAAACUCGGGGACUUAACCCCGACGCUGCAUGAUGGAUACGGGCAGACUAGAGGUAGGUAGGGGAGAAUGGAAUUCCCGGUGUAGCGGUGAAAAUGCGCAGAUAUCGGGAGGAACACCGGUGGCGAAGGCGGUUCUCUGGGCCUUACCUGACGUCUGAGGAGCGAAAGCGUGGGGAGCGAACAGGAAUUAGAUACCCCGAG